GUCGUCCAUCCAAAUUUUUCAGACCGGAAACUGCACACCUGGAGCUAAAUCAUACUGCUGAUUUUUAAUUGUCCACCAAGAUGGAGUUACCCCGCACACGUCGGGACAGGUUCUUGAAUGGUUACAGAAAACAUUCGGUCAUAAACUGAUUUCGUUCAGACGGACUGUGGUUCAUCAACACUCUUCCUGAUGUAAUCCAAAUUGAUUUUUAUGGGUGUAGUUUAAAAAAAAAAAAACAGUGUAUGCACCAACGCCAAACACUCUGGAAGACCUGAAAGUAGCAAAGCCCCGAAAAAUACAAAAAAAAAUACUCCAGGCGUGCAGAAACGUGAUCAAUUACGCUAUAGAGAGACUUGAACUCGUGAUUAAACAAAAGGGGAUCACGUAGAUCAUGUAUUGUAAUAAACAGCAUUACGGUAAGUUGAUGCUUACGGCAAAAUUGAUUCAUUUCCCGUUUAUGCAUUUAUUACAUGUUGCAAACUUGACGGAUAAAAUGAAUUACGCUCACAACGAAGUAAAAUUGCCCGAACCUGGGACCUCGUUAUUAGCAUGUUUUAAUGUAUUUGGAAACGGAUGAUAUUUUUACGAAUAUGUAGAAUUUUUCUUCAUGGAAUGAGUAAGCUGAGACAAUGCCUAUUACUGCAUCCGUCUAUUAAAUCAUUUCUCAUUUCUUUUCAUUUUAGAACGUUUUGCGUUGUAAAUUGUGAUAUAUAAUAAAUUGUACAUACUUUAAUUACCUUAAAAACGCAUUUUUACCCGUUUAUAGCCCUUCUAAACUUAAGACAAAUACAACGGGAUAAUUUUGUUUUCGACGGGCACAGAAAACAAUGGCAAUGUGUUUUAUCGCUACCUGAUCACCAAAAUGCCUAAAAGAAAUAGUCACCUAGAAUUACAUCAUAUCUUUAUUUCCAUCAGAUUUUUUCGUUAAUAAAAUCUAUCUUCAGUGGAAAUUAACAAAAGCAGAAGACGAUAAUAAUCAAACAUUUAAAAAAUGCCUGUUAGAGUACACCUGCACCGAUCUAUGUCCUCGAACUCAACAAAAUACCUUUUUGCUAACACAGAAAUGUCAAACACAUGUCAUACUUUACGAUGUAAUUUCCACGUGCUAGUUUGCAUGAGCCGAAUUCUUAAGAAAAACUAAAUUCAGUAUAAUCAAUACACCAGAAUGCGGAGCUGCUCUUUAAAGAAAAAAACAUAGGAUUAUAUGGUUACUAGGGCAAGCCGGAAGGGAAACAAUGAUUAGACCGAAGUAUAAAUCAACACUGCUGACAACAUUUAGUUCUUGAAAAUAAACAAUAAAUUCGAUGUUAUAUUUUCAAACGCAUUGUUUUUCAAGGAAACCUAUUCAUUAAUGCAUUAUAAAACGUCAGAUUUUAAAUGGUUCUUAUCCAGUCUCCGACAGUCCAUCGCCUUUGUAAUAUCUGUCCGCCACUGUCUCAAGCCAUACCGGUCCUACUCAUCUUCGAUCCGUUUCUUCAGGAUGGCCCAUUCUAGGAGCCCGUGCUAGAAACUUGGGACAACAAAGAGCUUCAUAUUAUAUUGUUCAUGAUGUGUUUAUAUUGUGUAUAUUUGUUUUGUUUUAUCUUAUAUAAAAAUUGUGAAUUGAAAUCAAAUCUUGUUCUGUUAGAUGGAACAUUCUUUUUAGAAAUGCAAAGUAAUUAAAUUUGUUAAGAGUGCAUUUCUGUUUUAGCAGAAUAUUAUCAUCUUAUCUGAUGUUUCAAAUAUUUUGCGUAUAUUUUGUUGCAAUAAAAACAAUUUUAGAAACUGGUUUUCAUAACUAUUUCAGUCAUUAAAAAGGGGCACUUAAUGAAAUUGAUGCCUUUGUCAUUUGUAAUACAUAAGUUAUCAUAACUUAUGUACGUUCACCUGAAGAAGGAUGUGAAAAUCCAGAAAGCGCUAGUGAAUAGAAACUUUGGAAUUGUUUAGUACGGAAGAUCUUAUAGUGAUUGUAGUGUUUUUUCUUUCUUUGUUUCUUUCUUUUUUCCCCUUUUUUUGUCGGCAGAAUUUCUCAAAUGUGGUUUGAUAGAUUUUCCUGAAAUUUUCAGGACUGAUAGAGAAUGAUAAAAUCUCGAAGUGUUUUUUUUUUUUAUUUUUAAAAAAUUAUUUCCGAUCGUCCAUUUCCUGUGCCGCGUCAAAAAAACCUUUAUUCCUCGAGAUCUCAGAAUCGGCAAAUACUUGAACAUCGAAACUUUGGGGGAUGAUAGACCUGUGCAUGAAGAUGUGUUUAAACUAUUUUGUUUUGUUCGUCGUAACUUCCGGUUGUCACCGGAAGUACUUCAGAAAUAAUUAUUGUUACGCAUUAAAUUCCUUUUCCAUAAAAGAAAUAUAUAAGUAUAAAUCUAUACAUAGGUUAACUAUGCAAUGUCAAAUCAACAAAAAAAUUCUACUUCCGGUGAGAUAUCUCAGUUAUCUCAGGUAUUGUGUAUUGUUACAUAGAAGAACACUGCGUUCAAGCUAGAGCAUUCAGAAACACCGAAACUUGUUUGCAAUGCUUCGGCAAAUCAUUUUGACUGGACGUUUGGUAUGUAUCUAUUGUAUACAUGAUUUUGUUUUCCACUUCAAAGUAGAUAACGGACGUAAGGCUGAAUUAUCAUUAACUUGUUAUUGACAUUAGAUAUUCAUAA